UACGAAGGUGGCAAGCGUUGUUCGGAUUUACUGGGCGUACAGGGAGCGUAGGCGGUUGGGUAAGCCCUCCGUGAAAUCUCCGGGCCUAACCCGGAAAGUGCGGAGGGGACUGCUCGGCUAGAGGAUGGGAGAGGAGCGCGGAAUUCCCGGUGUAGCGGUGAAAUGCGUAGAUAUCGGAAGGAACACCUGCGGUGUAGACGGCUUACUGGACCAUAACUGACGCUGAGGCACGAAAGCGUGGGUAGCAAACAGG
rnacentral:rRNA from 1 species